rnacentral:rRNA from 1 species
CCGGCACGGGUGAGUAACACGUAUCCAACCUGCCGUCUACUCUUGGACAGCCUUCUGAAAGGAAGAUUAAUACAAGAUGGCAUCAUGAGUUCACAUGUUCACAUGAUUAAAGGUAUUCCGGUAGACGAUGGGGAUGCGUUCCAUUAGAUAGUAGGCGGGGUAACGGCCCACCUAGUCUUCGAUGGAUAGGGGUCCUGAGAGGAAGGUCCCCCACAUUGGAACUGAGACACGGUCCAA